UACGUAGGGUGCAAGCGUUAAUCGGAAUUACUGGGCGUAAAGCGUGCGCAGGCGGUGAUGUAAGACAGAUGUGAAAUCCCCGGGCUCAACCUGGGAACUGCAUUUGUGACUGCAUCGCUGGAGUGUGGCAGAGGGGGAUGGAAUUCCGCGUGUAGCAGUGAAAUGCGUAGAUAUGCGGAGGAACACCGAUGGCGAAGGCAAUCCCCUGGGCCUGCACUGACGCUCAUGCACGAAAGCGUGGGGAGCAAACAGG
rnacentral:rRNA from 1 species